CAGCAAGUACGAGUAUUUUCACACAUGUAGAGGAGAUUGUGUUUCUGAUACAGAUCCGGACAUAACUGAAGAGGAGACUGUCUGCAGUGAGAAGAAAGAGAAAUUAAAGUCAGUUUUAAAUGUUAAAACUGAACCAGAACAUGAAGUAUGAUGAUGAUGGACAGCAGGAAAAUUCUCAACUGACAGCAGAACCUGAAGGCAGCAUCAACACCUGUGUGAUGCCUUCACUGACCAGACCUGACGGGAGUGUUUGCAGCUUUUUUUUAGACUAGUAAAUAUGUAGAAUAUAUUAUGGAAAGUGAUGAUUUUAUCAUUUGUCUCUGAAACCUGUUUUUUUUUCAUCCUUUGUGUCACAGCCUUACCAAACAGUGAGAUCUGGCGAUGAAUAAUGAAGCUGAUGUACUUACUGUUUACCACUGAUCACCAGGACAUGUAACAGUGUUUAUGUUGUAUGCCAGGUUAACCACAGUAUUUUGAGGGUCAUAAGCAGUGAAUAAAUGCCACUGGCAGCAUUAAAACAUUGCCAGAUUACCAGGGACAAGGUUGAAGUGGGUUGCAGAUCACAACACUCUGCAUCACAGUACACUCUGUGUGACCAUUAUAUAUUAGUAUUAUUGCUAUCACUAUAUGGAGAAUAUGACCACUGUAUAUUGUCUGACUGUUAAUAAGCAGAGUUUGCAAAUGUGAAGUGCUAAAAAAGUCAUAUAAUAGUUUUGUACACUGACUAUCUUAGGUAGCAAGCUGCUGUGCUAUUAUAACAUGCUAUUCUUUUUAUAGAGUGCAAUGUCUGAGCCACCUGUAAUGAGCCAACCUGCCUAACCAGUACAUAUAUUCUGUUCUCAUCCAGAUAAUAAACAGCAGCAGUAAAGGAUAAGCAAGUCUCGUUCAUCAUUUACUGCACAACACAGAGCCAAGUGAUUUUCCUUGGACUAGCCAGUCACAGCAAAGUGAUUGAGCCUGGUUACAGAGGCAAUAUGCUAGCUGAGCUAGUAAGGAUUAGCUGGCUAAAGCAUGUUACUCAUUUAUCCAAAAAUGGUCAGUUCUGGUCAGUACAACAUGUUUGGCAGUGAAACACUACAUUACUAUUAAAGAUUAGAAAGAAAAAAAUAAUUUAUUCUACAAGAAACGAAACAGCAGUUUGAAGCAGAUCAGCUCUUUAGUACCAGGAGAGGUUCAGGAUUUAAAACAAGUGCAGAAACACUGAAAAGCUGCAGCUCUGCUGUAAUACACCAGUAUUACCAGCAGAUGGAAGCAGACUGUGCACAGGAGUCAAAUACCUUUCAAAUUCCACUUUGUCUUUUCAAGCUCUGUGGGAUUUGUGCUGAUUAAAGAACCAGAAUCAAAACCAAGAAAUGUAUAAGAUGUCUAGUUUAACUCAUAUA